AGUAAUACAUCGGAACGUGUCUUCUAGCGGGGGAUAACUGCCCGAAAGGGCAGCUAAUACCGCAUGAGACCUGAGGGUGAAAGCGGGGGAUCGCAAGACCUCGCGCUGGAAGAGCGGCCGAUGUCCGAUUAGCUAGUUGGUGAGGUAAAGGCUCACCAAGGCGACGAUCGGUAGCUGGUCUGAGAGGACGACCAGCCACACUGGGACUGAGACACGGCCCAG
rnacentral:rRNA from 1 species